GACCCAUCUUUAUGCAAAGCCAGCGUUACAGUAAUGUCCCAGCAUCUCAUAAUCUAUCCUGGGGAAUUCAGCUGCCUCCCAGGGUGAAUACAGGUAUUCCUGAUGACAGUCUGCCUUCUAUCUUACAGAGCAGCUUGUUGCUAUAUACCAUUGAAAAGCCUUCAGAGCUGAGAGCUUUGUUUUUCUCUAGGUACUACUAACCAAUAACCUGCUUGGCUCAAAGGGCCAGCACCUUCUCUCU
rnacentral:lncRNA from 1 species